UGAGGAAUAUUGGUCAAUGGAGGCAACUCUGAACCAGCCAUGCCGCGUGCAGGAAGACUGCCCUAUGGGUUGUAAACUGCUUUUAUAUGGGAAGAAACAGAACUACGUGUAGUUCCUUGACGGUACCAUAAGAAUAAGCACCGGCUAACUCCGUGCCAGCAGCCGCGGUAAUACGGAGGGUGCAAGCGUUAUCCGGAAUCAUUGGGUUUAAAGGGUCCGCAGGCGGUCAAUUAAGUCAGAGGUGAAAUCCUACAGCUUAACUGUAGAACUGCCUUUGAUACUGGUUGACUUGAGUUAUACGGAAGUAGAUAGAAUGUGUAGUGUAGCGGUGAAAUGCAUAGAUAUUACACAGAAUACCGAUUGCGAAGGCAGUCUACUACGUAUAUACUGACGCUCAUGGACGAAAGCGUGGGGAGCGAACAGG
rnacentral:rRNA from 1 species